rnacentral:rRNA from 1 species
UACAGAGGUCUCGAGCGUUAGGCGGAAUCACUGGGCUUAAAGCGUGUGUAGGUGGAUCGGUAAGUACCUUGUGAAAUCCCACGGCUUAACCGUGGAACUGCUCGGUAUACUGCCGGUCUUGAGCCACCUAGGGGCGAGCGGAACAAAUGGUGGAGCGGUGAAAUGCGUAGAUAUCAUUUGGAACGCCAAUGGUGAAAACAGCUCGCUGGGGGUGUGCUGACGCUGAGACACGAAAGCCAGGGGAGCAAACGGG